rnacentral:rRNA from 1 species
GAUGAACGCUGGCGGCGUGCCUAAUACAUGCAAGUCGAGCGAACAGAUGAGGAGCUUGCUCCUCUGACGUUAGCGGCGGACGGGUGAGUAACACGUGGAUAACCUACCUAUAAGACUGGGAUAACUUCGGGAAACCGGAGCUAAUACCGGAUAAUAUAUUGAACCGCAUGGUUCAAUAGUGAAAGACGGUUUUGCUGUCACUUAUAGAUGGAUCCGCGCCGCAUUAGCUAGUUGGUAAGGUAACGGCUUACCAAGGCAACGAUGCGUAGCCGACCUGAGAGGGUGAUCGGCCUCACUGGAACUGAGACACGGUCCAGACUCCUACGGGAGGCAGCAGUAGGGAAUCUUCCGCAAUGGGCGAAAGCCUGACGGAGCAACGCCGCGUGAGUGAUGAAGGUCUUCGGAUCGUAAAACUCUGUUAUUAGGGAAGAACAAAUGUGUAAGUAACUAUGCACGUCUUGACGGUACCUAAUCAGAAAGCCACGGCUAACUACGUG